rnacentral:rRNA from 1 species
UGGUUGAUCCUGCCAGAGGUCACUGCUAUCGGGGUUCGAUUAAGCCAUGCGAGUCGAGAGGGUUCGGCCCUCGGCGUACUGCUCAGUAACACGUGGAUAACCUGCCCUAGGGAAGGGGAUAACCCCGGGAAACUGGGGAUAAUACCCUAUAGAUUACAGAUGCUGGAAUGCCCUGUAAUCCAAAGUUCCGACGCCCUAGGAUGGAUCUGCGGCCGAUUAGGUUGUUGUUGGGGUAAUGGCCCAACAAGCCCGUAAUCGGUACGGGUUGUGGGAGCAAGAGCCCGGAGUUGGAUUCUGAGACACGAAUCCAGGCCCUACGGGGCGCAGCAGGCGCGAAAACUUUACAAUGCGGGCAACCGUGAUAAGGGAACCUCGAGUGCCUGUAAAUGCAGGCUGUUCAGGUGCCUAAAACACACCUGAAGAAAGGGCCGGGCAAGACCGGUGCCAGCCGCCGCGGUAAUACCGGCGGCUCGAGUGGUGGCCGCUUUUAUUGGGCUUAAAGCGUUCGUAGCUGGGUUGUUAAGUCUCUUGGGAAAUCUGGCGGCUUAACCGUCAGGCGUCUAAGGGAUACUGGCAAUCUUGGAACCGGGAGAGGUGAGGGGUACUUCGGGGGUAGGAGUGAAAUCCUGUAAUCCUCGAGGGACCACCUGUGGCGAAGGCGCCUCACCAGAACGGCUUCGACAGUGAGGGACGAAAGCUGGGGGAGCAAACCGGAUUAGAUACCCGGGUAGUCCCAGCCGUAAACUAUGCGCGUUAGGUGUAUCGGUGACCACGAGUUACCGAGGUGCCGAAGGGAAACCGUGAAACGUGCCGCCUGGGAAGUACGGUCGCAAGGCUGAAACUUAAAGGAAUUGGCGGGGGAGCACCACAACAGGUGGAGCCUGCGGUUUAAUUGGACUCAACGCCGGGAAGCUCACCGGAUAAGACAGCAGAAUGAUUGCCGGGCUGAAGACUCUGCAUGACUAGCUGAGAGGAGGUGCAUGGCCGUCGUCAGUUCGUACUGUGAAGCAUCCUGUUAAGUCAG